GGAAUUUUCCGCAAUGGGCGAAAGCCUGACGGAGCAACGCCGCGUGAGGGAUGAAGGCCUCUGGGCUGUAAACCUCUUUUAUCAAGGAAGAAGAUCUGACGGUACUUGAUGAAUAAGCCACGGCUAAUUCCGUGCCAGCAGCCGCGGUAAUACGGGAGUGGCAAGCGUUAUCCGGAAUUAUUGGGCGUAAAGCGUCCGCAGGCGGCCCUUCAAGUCUGCUGUUAAAAAGUGGAGCUUAACUCCAUCAUGGCAGUGGAAACUGUUGGGCUUGAGUGUGGUAGGGGCAGAGGGGAUUCCCGGUGUAGCGGUGGAAUGCGUAGAUAUCGGGAAGAACACCAGUGGCGAAGGCGCUCUGCUGGGCCAUCACUGACGCUCAUGGACGAAAGCCAGGGGAGCGAAAGGGAUUAGAUACCCCUGUAGUC
rnacentral:rRNA from 1 species